rnacentral:rRNA from 1 species
UAUGUGCCAGCAGCCGCGGUGACACGUAGGCUCCAAGCGUUGUCCGGAUUUAUUGGGCGUAAAGAGUUCGUAGGCGGUCGAGUAAGUCGGGUGUGAAAAUUCUGGGCUCAACCCAGAAACGCCACCCGAUACUGCUUAACUUGAGUUCGAUAGGGGAGUGGGGAAUUCCUAGUGUAGCGGUGAAAAUGCGCAGAUAUUAGGAGGAACACCGGUGGCGAAGGCGCCACUCUGGAUCGAUACUUGACGCUGAGGAACGAAAGCAUGGGUAGCCAAAACAGGAUUAGAUACCCCUGGUAGUUCCACGCCCCUAAAACCGAUGUCAAACUGGGUUGUUKGGGGUCUUUCACUUGGACUUCAGUAACCGAAGCUAACGCGUGAAGUUGACCGCCUGGGGGAAGUACCGGCCGCAAGGUUGAAAACUCAAAGGGAAUUGACGGGGGACCCCGCACAAGCCGGUGGAUGAAUGUGGGUUUAAAU